CCUACGGGGGGCAGCAGUGGGGAAUAUUGGACAAUGGGGGGAACCCUGAUCCAGCCAUGCCGCGUGUGUGAAGAAGGCCCUCGGGUUGUAAAGCACUUUCAGUGAGGAAGAACGCCUGGUGGUUAAUACCCAUCAGGAAAGACAUCACUCACAGAAGAAGCACCGGCUAACUCCGUGCCAGCAGCCGCGGUAAUACGGAGGGUGCGAGCGUUAAUCGGAAUUACUGGGCGUAAAGCGCGCGUAGGUGGCUUGAUAAGCCGGUUGUGAAAGCCCCGGGCUCAACCUGGGAACGGCAUCCGGAACUGUCAAGCUAGAGUGCAGGAGAGGAAGGUAGAAUUCCCGGUGUAGCGGUGCAAUGCGUAGAGAUCGGGAGGAAUACCAGUGGCGAAGGCGGCCUUCUGGACUGACACUGACACUGAGGUGCGAAAGCGUGGGUAGCAAACAGGAUUAGAUACCCGUGUAGUC
rnacentral:rRNA from 1 species